rnacentral:rRNA from 1 species
GAUGAACGCUGGCGGCGUGCCUAAUACAUGCAAGUCGAGCGAACAGACGAGGAGCUUGCUCCUCUGACGUUAGCGGCGGACGGGUGAGUAACACGUGGAUAACCUACCUAUAAGACUGGGAUAACUUCGGGAAACCGGGGCUAAUACCGGAUAAUAUAUUGAACCGCAUGGUUCAAUAGUGAAAGACGGUUUUGCUGUCACUUAUAGAUGGAUCCGCGCCGCAUUAGCUAGUUGGUAAGGUAACGGCUUACCAAGGCGACGAUGCGUAGCCGACCUGAGAGGGUGAUCGGCCACACUGGAACUGAGACACGGUCCAGACUCCUACGGGAGGCAGCAGUAGGGAAUCUUCCGCAAAGGGCGAAAGCCUGACGGAGCAACGCCGCGUGAGUGAUGAAGGUCUUCGGAUCGUAAAACUCUGUUAUUAGGGAAGAACAAAUGUGUAAGUAACUAUGAACGUCUUGACGGUACCUAAUCAGAAAGCCACGGCUAACUACGUG